rnacentral:rRNA from 1 species
GUUUCAUGUUUUCUACUGCGUCCUUUGACAGUCCUAGGAUUCAAUCCUAGGUUUGCUGACGUACGCUCUUUGGGCACUUCAUGGAGAUCGCGAUGGGGCAGAACCAAGCCCAUGCCGCCAUCUUAUAAAUUAACUGCAGCCUAACACAAACAAUCUACACAUCAAGGAGGCUCCUGUCAGUCGUAAACAUCGUCGCUCGUGUACCUUCUCCUGUUUGGUACGUAAGCUUCAUCGUUGACCUGUUUUUCAGAUAUUGUUUGUUUCGUUGGUUAAUUCAAAAUUUUAGGCUAUUUACAUCAUAUUUCUUAUAUGAACUUCAUGAUGGGUAAGAGAAAAUCUUUCUUCGCAAGUGAAGCCUUGGAUUUGCCAGAGACUAAGAAAUUAGUAAGCAACAAAAUUAUGCUUGCUUACAAUUCAAAUUACUUGUUGUUGCUUUCUGGCCCAGUUCUGAGACAGAUUAUUUGUUUCAUUGGUUCAAUCAAAUUGUUAGGCUCUGGAUUUCAUACUGCAUGCAAAUUGCAUGGCCACCAAUAUAUAAUCUUCUGGAAAUUGUGUUUUUAUAGGUCAACUUCUUUUGUUUACCUUCAAACCAAUGGCAUACGACAUGCUCCAUGAGAUUAGCAAUCAGAAGGAUUCCUGGAAAGUAAGGUCAGAAUAAUUAGGCUAUUGGGAUGCCAUUAAUCUCAACAACAAUGAACUUAUUAGCCUUGACAUGAUACUACUUGAUGAAGAGGUUAGCUUAAUGAUGAAAUUUUAUGAAUUGCCAACAUAAAUACACUAUUGUGAGCUGUAGUACUUACUAUAAUAUUGAUGCAUCUUCUUGUUGCACUGUAAUGUUCCAGGGUACUAUGAUACAUGGCAAGGUAAUGAAGCAUAUGGUUAACAAGUUCAGACCAUUGAUCCAAGAAGGUUUAGUCUGCAUGAUAGCAAAUUUUAAGGUUAUGUCUGCAAUGAAUUUCCGUCCAGUUGAAAGUGAAAAGGUUCUAAAUUUCUUGCACACGACAAAAAUUCAAGAGAUAAAAGGUCAAAAAAAUAUCAAAAUAGCAGAACAAAGCUUCAUGUUUUAUACUGUUAAAGUUCUUUCCACAAAAGAGCCAAAAUAUUUACUUAUCUGGUAUGAUUAAAUUUGUUUCAAUUAUUAACUUCCAUGUAUUAUGCAUAUUAAUACCACUUUAUUAGCAGAUGUCAUUAGCAUAGCAAGUUACAUAGGACAUAUUGAAGAAACACAGACAACCCAUGGGAUUUCAAAGAUUCGAGAUAUUGUGCUUCAGAUUGAGGAUCAAAAAAUUAGUAUUAGACUAUGGGGUAAUAAGGUUGGUCAAAUUGAUGAAGAUUCUUUGGGGCGUGUGGUCAUAGUAACAUCAACUACUGUUAGAAAACUGAAAGAGUACUCGCUGUCAUCUACAGGUGCGACCAGAGUUUAUAUCGAUUUGGAUAUCCCUGAAACAAAUGAGCUUCAAACGAGAUAUGGUGGAACUGGAAAGACAUUUCUGUGGAAAGCAAUCACGACAAAAUUAAGAUCUGAAGGAAAAAUAGUUAUAGCAGUUGCUUCAAGUGAUAUAGCAGCACUUCUUUUACAGGGUGGAAGACCAGCUCAUUCAAGAUUUCACAUUCCGCUCAAGAUCACUAACGAGUCCACAUGCAACAUCAAGCAAGGAACAUUUCUUGCGGAGCUAAUAAAGAAAACGUCACUAAUAAUAUGGGAUGAACCACCUAUGACACACAAGCACUGUUUUGAGGCACUAGAUAAGAGUUUGGGAGACAUACUUCGAUUCACAUAUGAGGACGCAGAGCAUAGACCAUUUGGAGGAAUGACAGUAGUAUUGGGAGGUGACUUCAGGCAAAUCCUACCAGUUAUACCGAAGGGGAAAAUAGAACAUAUCAUUUCUGCAUCAAUAAAGAGUUCCUACCUAUGGAAGAACUUUGAGGAGUAUCGACUCAAAGAAAAUAUGCGUCUGAAUUCAUCCGAAGGUAGUCCAGAAGAGAAAGCAAAAACAGCUGAAUUCGCAAACUGGAAACUAAACAUAGGCGAUGGCACAACGUCAACAAUAGAUGAAGUGGAUUGGGUUAGCAUCCUAGAGGACCUUAUUUUACAUAAAGGGGAUGACCCGGAAGCAUCUAUUGUUAACACCACCUAUCCUGACUUACACAGAAAAUACACUGAUAGAACAUACCUAGAGGAAAGAGCGAUCUUGUGCCCAAGAAACGAGACUGCUGACCAGAUUACUGCCUACAUCAUGAGUCAAAUCCGUGGAGAAGAGGUAACCUAUUUCAGUUCAGAUACAACAUGCAAGGCAAUGUCUACGGUGGAAGAUGAAGAUAUGUUGUACCCAACUGAGUUUCUGAAUAGUACAUUUUCUGGAAUACCAGACCAUGAACUGAGGCUGAAAGUAGGAUUACCAAUAAUGCUUAUGAGGAACAUCAAUCAAAGUGCAGGACUUUGCAAUGGACAAGACUAACAAUAACACAGCUAGGAAAGCAUUUCAUUGAAGGCCAGGUCAUAACAGGUCCUAAUGUUGGUGACAAGGUUUACAUCCCCACAAAUUAUCAUGUCACCAAGUGAUUCAAAAUGGACUUUCAUUCUGAAAAGGAGACAGUACGCAAUAUUAGUGUGCUUUUCUAUGACUAUAAACAAAAGCCUGGGGCAAUCUCUCAAAAAAGUUGGACUCUACUUAGAAAGGCAAGUGUUCACACAUGGACAACUCUAUGUUGCAAUUUCAAGGGUGACCAGCAGAAAUGGAUUGAAGAUACUCAUAUCAGAUGAAGAGCGUCCAUCCGACAAGGUUGCAGAAAACAUUGUUUACAAGGAUAUAUUACAGAUAUUGUUACAAGCAUUCUGA